AAACUGCCUAUGCGUGUUCACUAUGAGAGAAGAGCACAGCAUCAUUAGGCAAGGCAGAAGAAGAGGAAGAAGAGGAGGAAGAAAGCCAUUUACUGAAGUCUCAAAGGUGAGCAUUUUCUGUGAAAGCCCAUAGUAGUUAAGAAAGGUGUAUAUUUUGGACUGUAAAUAUUUAAGUGAUUCUUUAUCAUCUUUGUGUCAGUGCCUUUGAUGCUACUCAAAUGUAACAUUCAUAACAUUUUGGUAUUAUUUAUAUUUAGUAUACUAUAGACUACAAUGACAGUCUAGAUAUUUAUUUUAAAAACUGAAAAUAUCAAGAGCACAAAACAUUGGUUCUAUGUCAGAUGUUUGUUUAUUUAAUAUACAGAGUGUAUAUAAAAUACAUGAAAUAGUGGAUGUAUUGUAAAAUAUGAAUGAUAAAUAGGCAUGUUCCCCUCUUUCCAUUGUAAGUACAAAGGGACAUAUGUAUAUGCUCUACCACUCAGUUACAGACCUAGCAUAGAAUAGGCAACCAUGCAGGGUACAGGCCUUAUAGAGUAGGCUUGUGCCAUACACUAUACUUUUUAGUAUACGUAGCAGAGGCACCAACUUCUCAAGAUGAUUGAGGUGGCCUGAUGCAAUGUUGCAUGGAGCCAGAAUGUAGAACUGAACACUUUUUGAACAUUGAGGGGGCCCAGCCCUAAAAAAAAAUUGGGGCGUGUGUGGCAAAGUGACUCAAGCCCCUGGAACUGGCACCUAUGAUAUUGCUCAUUAGAUAAAUUAAUUGUUUAUCUUCCCUUUUAUUGGGAAACAUAUAUAUACUGCAACUUUGAAGAUUGUCUCACUCUAGGGCGAUAAAUUCAUGCAAACUGGAAAAAUUGUUUUGCUCAUGGUUCAUUUGCUGGGAUAGAUUUGUAUGAACAAGUUCAUACUUCUUUGUUUUGUGUGUGUGUUUUAAAAAAAAUAGUCUCUGCUCAACUCAACUUUUUGCUCAACAGGGAAGUUAAGCAUCAUUAUGUCUGGGUUCAAUCGGCACAGUUGGUUAAACAUGCCAAAAUCACCAUUCCUCACAAACAAGCCCUCCCCACAGUCUGCUCUGUGCCCAAGGCAUCUAUAAAUAAAUUGCUGCCAUCCAUCCAUUAAGAAUCUUAUGCUGGAGUAAUGGAUGGAGAUGCAUAAGAAAUGUUUUCCACUAAGCACAUGCACUCUGCAUCUCUGCAUUCACUGAAUCCAUUCUAAACAAAGAAACUGCGGUGGUGAUGAUCAGAUGCUCAGCAGAAGAACAGGGGCAAGGGAUGGUUGAAAGGGGAGGGGGAGUUAGAAUUAUUAGAGUAGAACAUGUGCACAGGGUUGGGUUGUUGUUGGUUUUUUUCCAAGAGGAUUUAAAACAAAUAGAAUCCCCUUAAGGAUUAGCAGUCAACCCUGUUGCUGAGAAAACGAAGGGUAUUUGAGGGCAGCGCUCAUUCAGCCACGGUAGGUCUGCAUGAGGUGAACGUGGUGCCUGCCAACAAAAAGUGUUAGCACAGGAUCCCAGCAGGGAACAUUCAGGAGCUUGCAGAGUGCAAAGAGCUUUUGUUUUUGCAAAGAAAAAGAGAGUUUGCCUGCCAGAUGGCUUUUUGCAAGUGCUCACAGCUCUCAAAUAAAUAUAAGGAAGUACUUUUAAAGAGUAAAGACUGCCAUGAUAUAAAUACAAAAGGGUGGGGUUUUUAAUUAAACAAUGCAGGGGGGAAUCACAAAGACAUUCUAGCCAACAUACUUAAAUCUUUUGCCUGGAGUGACAUGCCCACAGCAGUUGAUUGCAUUAUUUCUUCAUAAAACUGCUCAGUCAUUUUUAUUAUAAUUUUGGCUGAGAGAUAAAAAUGACAAAAUUCAGGAUCGGGAUGAAUUCAGUUUGGUUCACGUUUUAAUGUGAGCCUACCUGGUGCACAUUUCCAGGAACAAAAUGCGAACUGAAAUGAAAUUAUUCAUCCAAAUUUGCACUUCUCUGAAUUUUGCAAUGCAGUUCUCUAUCCCACUCCCAAAUUACAAAACUUCCUAUAUUAGGGGAAGUUGCACAAAAAUAUGCAUACAUCUGUGAAAAUAAAAUACAAAAUUCCAUUUUAUUAGAGGAAAUGGGUAUACUAGAAAAAUUGCACACUACAAUUUUCAUGAAGCUUUUGAAACUCUCCUCUUAGCAUUUGAUGCAGCACAAUCUAAAGCGCUGUCACAUGGAAGAUGGAGCAAACUUGUUUUCUCCUGUACCAAAGGGUAGGACCCAAACCAAAGGCUUCAAGUUACAUGAAAAGAGAAUCUGACUAGACAUCAGGAAGAAUUUUCUGAUGGUAGGAGCUGUUAUCUGGCUGUAACAAAGUAGCAGAUGAUGCAGUGGGGCUCUGCCACUUACCUGACCUCCCUCUGGCCAAAUAUCUGCUGCUGACCGGGGGGAGGUGAGACGACAAUGAGGUAGGUGUAGUAGAAAGGCUCAGGUAGAAGCACUGUUGGCGCCAUUGGCACAUUUAUACUGUCCUGACCUCAUUGUCGCCUCACCCAUCAGCAUUUUAGAAUGCACCAUAACCAGCAAAUUGUCCCAUAGUAAUAGCACCUGCCUUCUGUACUGCCAUCCCUUGGGUAAUUUGUGAGGUGAAGAAAGAAAUGACCUUUAAGUAUUUCUUAAACACUUACAUCUUUACCCAACUUUUCCUGGACUCUGACUCUUAAUUUUUAAUUCUCUGUUUUGGACAUUUCUGUUACCUGCCUUUGCGUUUAUUUUGCUUCUAUGCAGCUUUUAGGAAAUGUUACUGAAUGUCACUGCUGUAUUUAUAUAUUUUGUAGAUUUUGUAGAUUUAUAUACUUUGUAGAUUUUGCUGCCUCUUAAUUUGUUAAUGUGAAGGUUGUUAUUUUCAUUUUAUUGUAUUUUGUAUGAAUAAUUUUUAUCUAUGAAUAUUGUACACCACCACCCUGAAAUGGUGGUCAGUUUAGAAAUAUUUUAAAUAAAUAAGGAUCCUUGCCCAAUAAAGAGCUACAUAGCCAUAGCUACAGGAUACAGAAAAGAAGCAACAAUGUGGUGUGUGCAAGGCAGUCUAUGUACAACUUGGCAGGGGUACUACUUUGUUGAAAAGCGAAAGAAGCAGAGAGUGAGUGCUUGGAACAAAACACCUGGUGAGAUAGUUGUCUGACUCCAGCCUUAGGUUGAGCUUAAUUAAAGCAAGGAGAGUGUGAAACAUUCUGUCUUUGAAACAGUCCAAAUCCAUUUAUAUAUCUGCCAAAACCUUCAGCACUUAGAGUCAUGGUGAGCACAGCACCCCAAGCACUUAAGCAAAGUUGUUUGCUUAUUUCUUUAUUUAUCUAACAGUAGAAAAACUCAUACAGAAAAGUAAUCUCUCUCUUAAACUUAUUACUCUAAAACAGUUCCAGUGAUAUAAGCCGUAAAAGAAAUGGCCUAAACAACCAAAGCAAAUUUCUACCUCUUGUUGAAACAAUCUAAACUGAAUUUUGCUUUAUGGUAGUUUGAUGAGAUGAUAUACAAUGACUAGGUGGUUUGAGGUACCCAUGUUGGAAUGAAACAGCUUUGUAAGAAGCACCAUAGCCUUUGAACAUGGCCAGAAAACAAGGAAAGAGAAUUGUGGAAUGGGCAUCUCCAAGUUCAUCUGUACAAAACACAAGACCAUGAUAGUGGGUGGGUUGAGGGCUAUCUACAGCUUUUGAGGCAUAAAUAUGAACAGUGGGGUUGACUGAGGAUUCCCUUAUGUGACAUCCAAAGAGAUGGGAAUGUGGUAGAAAACAGAAAUACCUUGUAAUGCUAUCCCCAGGCUAUGUGUAGUAUUUGAGGUGAGCUUUGAGGUUAUCUGAAUCUUCCAACUUUCAGGAUGUCCACAAGUUUUAGUGAUAUGAGAGAGGGCUACCCCCAAAUGGUUGACUUCAACAUCCCCCCACAAUGUGUAGCCAGUAGGACGCAUGGCCAGUGGCUACACAGUAUGACCCUCAUGACCUAAUCCAAUGUGUGAGGUAGUUCAAGCAAACAUCUCUGUUGAGAUCUCUAUGUGUAGUGCACCAGUGGUUUCUAUUUCAAAUCCAUAAUUAAGUCUAACUCUUGACCCAGCUUUUAUUUUGUAAACCUGAAUUUCAACCACUGAUGCUUCAAACCCCAUCAGUAGCAGCAAACAAGAUUGUGGUGGCAGGGGGACCUUGCGUCUUUGUUGCUACUGGUGGAAAAGCAGAGAUGAUCUUGAGAGAUGCUUUUGUUCAGAAAAAUAGCCCAAGGAGAAAGGUUUAAGCAUCACAUCUUCUCUGCUCUUCUCAGGACAUAUCUGCAUCCUCCACAACUUCAUUUGGGGAUGAUGACCCAAAAGUAUCCUCCACAACUUCAUUUGGGAAUGAUGACACAUUUUCUGGCAUAAUUUUGACCUCUGUCAGUAUGUUUUUAAGAAGUCAACAGCAGCAAUAUGACCACAGAUAUCAACUAUUUUACCAGAAGCAAGUACAAAAAGAAAUUUUAUGUUGUUAUCAACACAGUGUUUAAGCCUCGAGAUCAUGAUAACCUGCAUCUUUUCCUGUUCCUUUAAAAAACCAGCUUUGCAAAACACCAUGAACAUCAUUUUCACUGUCUCUUAUUAAUGACAGGCCCAUAUUACAAAUUUUGGAAGAUGUGAUGUCUGUGAUCUCCCAAAGGUCAUUUGUGAGUUGGUCUCCUCUGAGUUAUGAGCCCUUACCAUCUACAAAGAACUUGAUCUGCUGACAGUAAUGAGACAAACAUGUAUUAGCUUCAUGCCUCAGAAAUUGUAGUGCCCCUAGUGAAUCCUUGGCAUUAACUGUUUGCAGCUUAGCCGGUGUGAAAUGUAGGGGUGUUUUUUUUUUUUUUGUUAUAAAGCAGCUGGAACACAUGUCCAUGAUGGCAAUAAUUAACAGUAUCCCAGUACUGGAAAUAUCUGAUAAAGGAGGGAAAAGAGAGGGGGGUUUUUUAUCCAUAAAAGAGGGUCAAUUCAACAGUAUUUAGCAAUGACAUUUAAGGCCCCUUCAGACACACACUUACCACAUCAAAAUCUUUUACUACUACACAUAUGGAUGCACGUGUAAAGUGAAAAUUUCAGGUAUAUCAAGGUAACUCAGAGCAAUGAUCAUUAGUCAGUCCAUGGUUGCUCUGGUGCUGAUAAGACUAUAGCCAACUUCAGGGAUUUUCUUACACAUGCCUGCAAUUGCAUGGAAUAAAGAUGGUAGGGCUGUCCCUGGUGAUGCUACCCCUGCCCCCAAAUCCACAUGUUGAGGAAGGUGUGGAAAGAGGAACAUGCUCUGUGUAGAAAGACUCUCCUUGUGUUUUACAGCACUGGUUGCACAGGGAAAUAUGAAUGCUCUCCCUACAUCUCUAACAGACCUUCGUUUCCAACAAAUGUAAAGGGGGGAAAUUGGUGAUAUUUGUGGGAUUUCAGGAGUGCAGAAAACAUAAUUUGUCUUUCUGAUAUGGAGGGUAUUUAACAAAAUUUCAGGUUUUUCUUAACUUCUUUAAAAGUAAAAGCCAUUUAGACUUUCAAAAUGCACCCCAAAUAUCCCUGAAACUAAUGCUAUGUGAUUUGGUAGUGUUCUUUCUAGGGACAUUGUAUUGGUGGGGGAUAUGGAAAAAAAAGAUCCCUGUGCCAGUCUAAAGAUAGCAUAAGAUCUCUCAAUAUCAAAAUAUUAAUUGUGGUUGUGUGUUCAUAGCAAAGCCAGGAGUAUUUACCUUUGAAUGUGAAUGCCAUUGAAUGCUAUCAACUUUAUGCCACUCAUUGUGAAUUACUGUGCUCUACAGAUGUAAUAAAAUUUUCUAAAUGCUGCUAUCAGUUGCAGAACUGACAGAAAGACCUUUAAUGAUGCCACAAUUCAUAUGAUUCUUUAAACAUAUUUUCCUCCCAGGUACUCUACAUUGAACAGUAGCUUAAAAUUUUCAUCAAAUCAUGACAGCGUUACUCGAAACCUUCUGAACAUUUCCAAACAAAUUGCAGCAGCAAAGAGACCAAAUUGAACACAGAGGGAAAGUGUACACUUCCUUAUCCUCAC